UACAGGGGGUGCAAACGUUGCUCGGAAUUAUUGGGCGUAAAGCGCGCGUAGGCGGCCGCUUAAGUCGGAUGUGAAAGCCCCUGGCUCAACUGGGGAAGUGCACCCGAAACUGAGUGGCUUGAGUACUAAAGAGGGUCGCGGAAUUCCCGGUGUAGAGGUGAAAUUCGUAGAUAUCGGGAGGAACACCGGUGGCGAAGGCGGCGACCUGGGUAGAUACUGACGCUGAGGCGCGAAAGCGUGGGGAGCAAACAGA
rnacentral:rRNA from 1 species